CGGUAACAUUUCUAGCUUGCUAGAAGAUGACGAGUGGCGGACGGGUGAGUAAUGCUUGGGAACUUGCCUUUGCGAGGGGGAUAACAGUUGGAAACGACUGCUAAUACCGCAUAAUGUCUUCGGACCAAACGGGGCUUCGGCUCCGGCGCAAAGAGAGGCCCAAGUGAGAUUAGCUAGUUGGUAAGGUAACGGCUUACCAAGGCGACGAUCUCUAGCUGUUCUGAGAGGAAGAUCAGCCACACUGGGACUGAGACACGGCCCAGACUCCUACGGGAGGCAGCAGUGGGGAAUAUUGCACAAUGGGGGAAACCCUGAUGCAGCCAUGCCGCGUGUGUGAAGAAGGCCUUCGGGUUGUAAAGCACUUUCAGUUGUGAGGAAAAGUUAGUAGUUAAUACCUGCUAGCCGUGACGUUAACAACAGAAGAAGCACCGGCUAACUCCGUGCCAGCAGCCGCGGUAAUACGGAGGGUGCGAGCGUUAAUCGGAAUUACUGGGCGUAAAGCGCACGCAGGCGGUUUGUUAAGCUAGAUGUGAAAGCCCCGGGCUCAACCUGGGAUGGUCAUUUAGAACUGGCAGACUAGAGUCUUGGAGAGGGGAGUGGAAUUCCAGGUGUAGCGGUGAAAUGCGUAGAUAUCUGGAGGAACAUCAGUGGCGAAGGCGACUCCCUGGCCAAAGACUGACGCUCAUGUGCGAAAGUGUGGGUAGCGAACAGGAUUAGAUACCCUGGUAGUCCACACCGUAAACGCUGUCUACUAGCUGUGUGUGCCUUUAAGGCGUGCGUAGCGAAGCUAACGCGCUAAG
rnacentral:rRNA from 1 species